UAUCUCUGUAGAGUCUGCAUAUCAAUAAGCGGAGGAAAAGAAACUAACUAGGAUUCCCUUAGUAACGGCGAGUGAAGCGGGAAGAGCUCAAAUUUGAAAUCUUCAAGGUUUACCUUGACGAAUUGUAGUUUAAAGAAGUGUUUUCUGUUGGAGUUUCGGUAAAAGUUCUUUGGAAUAGGACAUCAUAGAGGGUGAGAAUCCCGUAUUUGACCUUCAUUUCAACUUUGUGAUACACUUUCAAAGAGUCGGAUUGUUUGGGAAUGCAGUCCAAAAUGGGUGGUAAAUUUCAUCUAAAGCUAAAUAUUGGCGAGAGACCGAUAGCGAACAAGUACCGUGAGGGAAAGAUGAAAAGAACUUUGAAAAGAGAGUUAAACAGUACGUGAAAUUGUCAAAAGGGAAGCGUUUGACACCAGUGUUGUUUUCUCGAAAAUCAAUUAAAAAUGGCUUGAUUUUGUGUUGUAUUGACCUUAAAAGCUUUCUUCACUUUUUCCAUGUCUUUUUUAAUGCACUUUUCGUUUAACAAGUCAACAUCAGUUUCUUUUGUUGUAAAAAGGUCAUUGGAAGGUGGCUUUCUUUUCGGAGAAAGUGUUUAUAGCCUUUGACUUCUGCAAUCGGAGAGACUGAGGUCUGCAGCGUAGAUCCUUCUGGAUUAGAUUCAUUUGUGCUAAGUUACAACCGUUUAUAGACAACUUGUUGACUAUAUUCGAUCCUAUAGCUUACUCGCUUAUGUAAUUUUACCUACGCUUAGGAUGUUGAAGAUGUAGCACAUCAU
rnacentral:rRNA from 1 species